CGCUUAAUGAUAAUAAUUUUAAGUCGAUCUGCCCAAUGAUUUUAAAUUUAAUGGCUGCAGUAUAAUUGACUGUACAAAGGUAGCAUAAUCAAUUGUUUUUUAAUUAAAAACUGGAAUGAAAGAAUUAAUGAGAUAUAUACUGUCUCAUAUAUAUUUAAUGAAUUUAAAUUUUUAGUAAAAAUGCUUAAAUAAAUUUAUGGGACGAUAAGACCCUAUAGAAUUUUAUAUUAAUAUUAUAAUUAAUUAUUUAAUUUAUAUAUUAAUAUUUAGUUGGGAGGAUUGGUAAAUUUAAAAAACUUUAUUUUAAAAUUAAACUUUGAUUUAAGAAUAAAUAUUGAUCUUGUAUUAUAAAUUAAAAAAAUAAAUUACCUUAGGGAUAACAGCGUAAUAUCUUUUAAAAGAUCAUAUUAAUAAAGAUGAUUACGACCUCGAUGUUGAAUUAAGAUAAAUUAUAAACGAAGAAGUUUAAAAAUUAAGUCUGUUCGACUUUUAAAAUCUUACAUGAUUUGAGUUCAAAUCGACGUAAGU
rnacentral:rRNA from 1 species